rnacentral:snoRNA from 1 species
UAGUAUGAUGAUUUAAACAAAACAAAGUUGGAAUUACCGACUGAAUUUUUCUGUUGAGAAAAUUGCGGCACUUCUGACU